AUUGAACGCUGGCGGCAUGCCUAACACAUGCAAGUCGAACGGCAGCACAGCAGUAGCAAUACUGUGGGUGGCGAGUGGCGGACGGGUGAGGAAUACGUCGGAAUCUGCCCAGUCGUGGGGGAUAACUAGCCGAAAGGUUAGCUAAUACCGCAUACGACCGAGAGGUGAAAGCGGGGGACCGCAAGGCCUCGCGCGAUUGGAUGAGCCGACGUCGGAUUAGCUAGUUGGCGGGGUAAAGGCCCACCAAGGCGACGAUCCGUAGCUGGUCUGAGAGGAUGAUCAGCCACACUGGAACUGAGACACGGUCCAGACUCCUACGGGAGGCAGCAGUGGGGAAUAUUGGACAAUGGCGCAAGCCUGAUCCAGCAAUGCCGCGUGUGU
rnacentral:rRNA from 1 species